GACGAACGCUGGCGGUGUGCUUAACGCAUGCAAGUCGAACGGUAAGGCCCUUUCGGGGGUACACGAGUGGCGAACGGGUGAGUAACACGUGAGUAACCUGCCCUCAUCUCUGGGAUAACAGUCGGAAACGGUUGCUAAUACUGGAUAUGAGCCUGCAAGGCAUCUUGUGGGUUGGAAAGAUUUUUUGGUUGGGGAUGGACUCGCGGCCUAUCAGCUUGUUGGUGAGGUAGUGGCUCACCAAGACUUCGACGGGUAGCCGGCCUGAGAGGGCGACCGGCCACAUUGGGACUGAGAUACGGCCCAAACUCCUACGGGAGGCAGCAGUGGGGAAUAUUGCACAAUGGACGGAAGUCUGAUGCAGCAACGCCGCGUGCGGGAUGACGGCCUUCGGGUUGUAAACCGCUUUCAAUUGUGACGAAGCUUUUUGUGACGGUAGCAGUAGAAGAAGCACCGGCUAACUACGUG
rnacentral:rRNA from 1 species